GCCUGACUGGCUCAGAUGGAAGAGCAUGAGACUCUUGAUCUUGGGAUCAUGAGUUCAAGCCUCCCUUGGUAGGUA
rnacentral:tRNA from 1 species